rnacentral:lncRNA from 1 species
CAGUUUCAACAGCCAUUGCACAUGCUAUCAAUGCUCUGAGACACGCCGGCAUACCCUGUACCGGAGCUCGAACUACUUUGGAAAAGAAUGCUAUGGGACGCAUACCGCCUCCUUGCUCUUGUGCACAGACUGCGGCCAUGGUUUUACACUUGUCCCAAACAUACAAAUGAAAUGGUUUACAAUACACAGGUAGUCCUAAAGCCUGGGCUUGCACAAUAACAACUGUAAGGGCAAUAUAUGCAGCUAGCAUGUCUGGUGACCAGCAGACAUUUUCAGGGCUGUCAGAACGUACAGCCUCCCUUAGGAUUGAGUCAUAAUGGGAGCAUUCAGGGAUCCAUUGGCGGCAGUAAUUAAUCAUGCCGAGGAAGGUGAGCAACUCCUUCCGAGUAGUGGGUGUAGGAAUCCUCUGAAUGACCUCAAUACAUUUUGGACUCAAUUGUCUGGUGCCUAAAGCCAGAACAAAACCUAAGUAUUCAACCUUUGAUUUACACAAUUGCAUUUUGUGUUUAACAACCUUGUGACCCACAGUUGCUGACAGUAUCCACAGUGCUUGCCUCAUAGUUAGGGCUACAUAACAACAAAUCAUCAACAUUUUGCAAAAAGGACGGAACCAUGACCGGUGGUCCAUGUUUUUUUUUUUUAGAGUAUGUUGGAGUACCAACGAAUAAACAGCUGGGGAAUCCACAUAGCCUUGGGUAAGCGUGUCCAGGUAAACUGACAGCCUUCAAAAAAUAAAAACCAUAAGUAGCUGUGUCUCUUGAUCAAUAGGUAUAGAAAAAAUGCAUUACUUAAAUCAAUGACAGUGAAGCAAGUGGCAUCAUGUGGAAUGGCUGUAAUGAGGGAUGUCACAUCAGGGACAAUGGGUGAAAUGGGCACAAUUAAACUAUUCAGGGCUCUAAAGUCCUGAACUAAGCGAUAUGCUGGCCAGUGGUGUUGGGAGUGGGUCUGGUGUUGUUCUUGCCUACCGGGCAUAUUUUGAGAAUGGUGGGGUUGUUGGGGUGUGUGGGGUUUCCUGGGGUGUGGACACUCAUUCCUCCAGUGGCCAUAUUGGCCACAGUUGAAACAAGUGUUCCUGUCUAUUCCUCCUUGGUUACCCCUGACCCUAUAACCCUGAUUUCCCUGUCUCCAUCCCCUUGCCCCUCUUUGACCACCCCUUCCACGGGCUUUAUGUGUUCCAUCCCAUCCUCGCUCUCAGCCUGUGUAGCUGGACAUAUGUUGCAAUCCCUGAGCAUAAUAAGCAACCUUACUUUCCUAAACCUUUUCUUAAUUCAAAACAACCUGCAUUUUCCUUUUCUAUAACCUUGGUAAGAAAAUCUGAGCUAUCCAAAUUGUCCCAGUCUGAAAUCAAUUGUUUCACAAGCAAAGAAUACUGUGGCAACAUAUUACCAAGGCAUGACUGUAUUUUAAAGAUAUCUAUAUCAUCUCCAGACAUCAAACCUGCCUCAUCCUUCCAACACUUGUAAAAUUUCUUUACAAAAAUCAUAUUACCAAUCUCUUCCUUUGCAUCUUGCUUAUAUGCCAAAGCAGUGAAUAUAGACUGCUUAUUCUUCCAUAAUCCCAACAUUUCAGCUUCCACCUUGUUCCAGAUUUUAGCACAUCUUACUGAAGUACUAAGCUCAUAAUCACCAAUUCAUUUCAAACCAUAUAACUCAUACUCAGCAUCCAAUGUAAUAUUAGUCAUCUCAUAAAACAAUAUCUUUGUAGAAACACAUAAUGGGUACCCAGCAGAUAUGCCAAUACAGAAAUCACAUUUAUGGGCACACAACUACACACUCUGUCUCCCUCCUAGGAAACACAGAUAGACACAAUAUAAAAGCAAUCUUAAACUAACACCUCCAAAUCUCCAACUAUUCUUGGCCAAAACGCUAGUAUUCAACAACUAAUAAAACAGUUAUUUGCUAGGUUAUUUGGCUGUCAUUCUUAUCAGUAUCACUAGACUGUGACAAACUGAUUCACAUAUAAUUUAAAACAAUACAGCAACAUAUAAAUUAAACCACUUUCAAGUUAAACUUCACACUUAUCACACAUUAUCACAGUCACCAUUUACACAGAAUAAAC